UCUAUACUAUGUGAAUCAUCGAAUCUUUGAACGCACAUUGCACUGACAGUAAUCGGUCAGUAUACCUGUUUGAGUAUCAUCUGCCUCUCAGCAGCCUGUGCGACACUUGCUGUUGCCCAGUCUGCUGGACAUGGACAGUCGUGGCAGUCAUGCCGCGUAGUCUUAAAUGCAGCGAAUUGGUUCGUUUCAACUGAACACCGAGAGCUAGUACUUGUCGGCCUCACAGCUGCGAGUUGAUCUGGGUGCUACUUGGUUGGAGCGCGGUUCGGCAAAAACAAUACUCCAGUUGUGGCUCAUUCUUGAGCUGCAUCUAAACUUUGAUCUCAAAUCAGGUAAGAUUACCCGCUGAACUUAAGCAUAUCAAUAAGCGGAGG
rnacentral:rRNA from 1 species